CAAUCAGAGAAAGAAAGAGACCUCAGCGUCAUUACCGUUAAUUGCCCUGAUAAGACUGGUCUUGGUAGUGAUUUGUGUCGCAUCAUACUCUUCUUUGGCCUUAACAUCGUUAAAGGAGAUUUAUCUACGGAUGGUAAAUGGUGUUACAUAGUGUUUUGGGUUGCUGGCAAUUCAUCAACUAGAUGGGGCCUUUUGAAGAAGAGAUUAUUAGGGGUUUGCCCUUCUUGCUCUUCAGCUUCUGG
rnacentral:misc_RNA from 1 species